rnacentral:lncRNA from 1 species
UGUCAUACAAGAAUAUGCUUUCUGUAUUUACCAAGGCUGUUUGCUAUCCAAACAGCUUUCAAAGUGUAGUCUGGAACAGAAGCUGUCAAUGUUUCUUCACAAAAUCUGCAAAAAUCCAAGAGACACAAGACAUUUCUCCCAACAAAAGGGCUAUAAGAUUGAAUGCCUUUUUUUUAAAGAUAAAUAUAUUAUCUUUUUCUAUAGCUUAUAUGUUAUAUACAAGAUUUUCUACUUUGUAUUGCAAGAAAGACAUGAAAUACAAAAUAUAGAAAACCAGGGAGACAAUGAUCUGAUAAGAGGAAUAUAAGUAAAAUUCAAGUGAUCUAAGUUCCAUUAUUUCCACCACUACCCUUAGUAGUGAAAGAAUUAUGCUAACAAUGAAAAUCACUUCAAUUUAGUGAACACUUAUUAUGUACUUGGUAAGCAUUUACAGACAUUACUUAAUGCAACAAUCAUAAGAAAUGCAAUAUGGUAUUUUAUCUGUAUUUAAAAUAAUCAAUGAAUUAAAUUAAGCUCAAAGAUUAAAUAUACCAUUGAUAUUCUAUGAAUCCUUUUCAAGGCCUCAACCUAUUUAACUCGCCACAAGAAACAAGAUAGAUGACAAACUCCUACGAUAUAGGGAUAACAGGUUGCUGUGAAGGUAAUAAAAAUGUAAUGACAAUUUGCAUUGCUCAAGCUAUAAACCUUCCCACCCUCUCCCACUCAAGAAAGGAUAUCAGAAAGUGACUUUCUUAUGAAAACCAUUUUGAAUCCACUCUAAUUACAUUAUUCCCAAACUUGUUACUUUAUAAGAAGCAGAAAAUUAUCUCUGGCACACUUUAAAACUGAAUAUGAUAUGUCAGUGAGUUGUAACUCUAUAAUUAAGACCCUCCCCUGGUGUAUAUGGAGAUAUGAAUUAUAAUAACAUAGAACCAUUAUUAUGUAGAUACAUAUAUGGUUGUAAUUAUUUGAUAUGCACACUUAAUUUCAUAGCCCUCUCAUGAGGGAGUGUGGAGUGUGUAAGGCUAGUCUUCGAUUUAAUUUUGGGGAAGGGAUGUGGAAAGGAGGAUGAGUAACAAAUUUCCAGAAGGGAAAGAAAGCUUCCUACUGAUGGCAAUGCAAACAUGCAAACAUGCCAGAUAGCCCUUCUUCAUGCCUUUCUUCUUUCCUUCCCUUCCUCUCUUCAAUCCUCUUUCCUCUCUUUCAUUCCUAGGAUUAUUAUUAAGACAGAGUUAGUCUUAAAGCCAUUCGUUGGAGCAGAGGAGGGUGUUGGAACUGACCAGGGGAAAGAGUCUAUCUGUAUAGAAGUUUUACACAGCUUGGGGUUUAGAGUCUGACUGGAGUAAGGAGGCCACCCAGCCAGUCAGAGGCAGUGUAAUGGUUGGUGAUUAGUCAUACAUAGGGUGGUUGACUAAAUCAAUAUACACAUUAGGGAUAAUGGGAGCUGGGCUUCUCAUUGAUGGAGGACAGAAUUACAGAUGGUAAAGGGAAAAGUAAAAGAGAUUUGGUGGUAUUUAUUUGAAAUUGGAGGUAUAAGUAUUAAUUAGUAGUUUAGAUAGAUGAAUGUAUAGACAUAAUAAGGAAUGGAAUAUUUAAAUAAUUUGAAAGUUCUUUUGCACAAAAUCAAUAGAAACACUAAGGGAUAAUUCAUGAUUUUUAUAGUGGAAAAACCCAGUACACAGUACCUUUGUGAUGCAAUCAAAUUGUACAUUAUCAAGGACAAGACAAACUGAAUUUUCAUGUUACCCAAUAUGUUGCAAUGCAAAGAACACAGUAUUACUCUGUCCUAUGGAGGCAGACCUAAUUCUGUUGAAGAGGGAACAUCACGUAGACUGAAUUGCAGAGAAAGUCUACAAAAUAACUGCCCUGUAAUCUCUAAAUGUGUCAAAUUCAUAAAAGUCAAUGAAAGACUGAAGAACUAAAGAGACCUAACAGAAGUUUGUGCAUGGUUCUAAACUGAAUAUUGUGCCAGUAAAGUUAUUAUUGCGGCAGCAUGAAAAUUUGAACGAGAUUCAAAGAUUAGGUGGUAGUAAUGUAAUGUGUUAGUGUUAAUUUCCUGAGGUUGGUAGUUAUAUUGAAGUUAAAUAGGAAGAUAUCCUUGUUGGUAGUUAAUACACACUAAAAAAUGAUGGGGGUGGUAGGGUAUUAUGUUAACAGCUUGCUCUUAAGUUGUUCAGGGAAAAAAGUGUAUCCCAUAUUUGCUUACAACUUUUCUGUAUACUUAAUGUGUUUUCUAAAUACAAAUAAAUUAAUAACUAAAUAAGUAGAUGUCAGAAAUAUUAUUUUUCAACUAAGUUCUAACAAUAAGAAGUAUCUAAAGGGGACCUAGAUAAAGGGAAACUUCAACUGUCAGGCACAAUAGAGAAUAUGUUUGGGCCUAAGUACUUUUCAAGGGCCUAGGAAAAUAUCUAAGACCUAGAGAACAAACAAAAUCAUCAACUUGAAAUUUAAACCACAAGAUGAAAAUUAAUAAAUAUUUCAACAACAUAUUAUGUUAGCCUCAUUAACUGCCAUAGUUAAUAUUUAUAAAAUUUUCAUUAUGUUUGAAAGCCUGUUGCAGGAUUAAUUUCUAACAGUGAAAGAUUUCUCAGGCUUGUGAAAUAAUUGCUUAAAAUGUCAGUCAACCAUAAAUAAAACACAUUUCUCAGUUCUUAAUUAUUUUUAAAAGUAAAAUAACAAAAUAUUUUCAAAUAUUUAGAACAAAACAUGUAUUUAAUGUAGGAUGGAGAUAUAUUUUAACAGAUUUCAUAUGGCAAUGGGAGGGUUCUACAAAAGGACUUAAAAAUGGUUUCCCGGUUAGAAGAUAGUUCAAUACGCAUUAAUCAGUCAGUGCAAAUCUAAAUCAAGAACGAAAAUUCUAACACCUAUCUUUGAAGAAUCUGACAAAGCAUAACAAAAUUGGGAUUUUUAGAAUGAACAACCUUUUUUAAAGGACAUCUCUUCCAAAUGAUUCAGGUGAUCACCCGAUAAAUACAACACACUUCCUUAGCUUCCUACUUCCCUAUCAGCCCUCACAAUUUUCAAUUCCCUUUAGCCAAAGAUCACCAGGAACAGACUUGUGCUUGAACAGGUGGCUUUAUUUUUUAUUGCUUCAACACACCAUAGGGAACCAUAAGGUAUCUGAGCAAGACAGGUUAGAAAAAUCUGUUUAAGAAUUUGGGUUUUGAUUAGGUAAUUUGGAGAGGUGUCUAAGGAAGCAGGGGUUUGCUCUACAUUUGUUCUGUCAAAAUGGGGGCAAUUCUACAAUUGAAUAUUUUAAUAUACCCCAUCUAUAGGAAGGGGAGAUCAGUAAGAUAAUAAAGUUUAAUUGGUAAAGAAGCAGCAAUCCUUCAUUUUGGCUGAGAGUGGAAGAUACUUGCUGUUAUGUGAAGUGUUAAGUGAUGUGCUGAGAUAUUGUUUUUGAAUCAGUUUCUAAUGAUCUCAGAAUGACUUCUUGAUGUUUUAUGAGUUUUUUUACGGUGAGCGGGAGAAAAACAUCAUCUAGCUGUGAUUGUCAGGCCCACUUGUUGUAACUUUGGAGGCUAGCUGUGAGCAUUACAUAGUUCCCAGAUGUCAGUGGCUACUGUUUUUUACAAUUCUUGGCAGGAUCUUUCUGUUUCAAGAGUAAGUACUUUGCAGCACAAGCUUCCGGCCUCUUCCCUUCUCACUGCCUAUCUUAAUUAUUACUUCUGCUUUUGUUUGCAUUUUGGAAGUAAUUGUAAUGCAUAGGACAAGAGCAUAGGUUCUGUAGGGGUUUGGUUGCCUUGAUUGAAGAUGAAGAUGUCCCUUCUUGAUUUGUAAACUUGGGCAACUUAUUUCACAAGCCUACGCAGGUUCUUCAUCUAUAAAAUGGAAUUAAUAACUUCACAAUCAACAUUAUGUACAUAAAAUGUUUACCAUAUUGUCUGAUAGAGUGAUCAUUCAAUAAAACUUUUGUUAUAAUCACUCUUGUUGGAGACUAGUAAUUAUAGCCACACUAACUUCUUCAUUAUGUGGCAAAUUUAUCAAUGUCCUGGUAAAACCCCUGAUCUAACCUUACCUUUGUCAUUCAAGAAAUACUUAUUAAGUUCUUAUUGUUUGGUUUACUGGGUUUAUGGCUUUGAACUCUUAGGGACCUUACGUUCCAAUGGAAUAGGUGGAUAAUAGGCAAAACAACACAACAAAAUUAGACAUGACAAAAAGAUGUUUGUUCAAUAAUGAAAAUAAAAUAGAAUGCCUAUUGUGACUGUUAUAGAAUGAUUGUUUGGGAAAUUCUUUUACAAGGAGGUGAACAUUCAAACAGAAGUGGGAUAAUUUGAAGAAACCAGCUCUAUGUCUAUGUGGGGAAAGAGCCUAUCAGACAGAGGGAACAACUGAUGUACAGGAUUUAAGGCAACAAAGAGUUGGCCUGUUCAACAAUCUCCCACGAUGUUGCCAUUUGGUCUUGCAUAACAAUGGAAUUAAACCUAGUCACAAAGAGACUUGAACAUUGGAAUUGAAAUCAUAGCAAAGGCAAUAAUGGGAUAUUUACCCCAUUUUAAGGUUUCAUCACUUGUUGUACAUGACACCAUUGAUUUAGUAACAACUAUUCUGAAAAAAAGUAAAAUCAUUACUACACACUCAUUUAUAAGACAUUCCACUCAAAGAAUCAUCAAAUAUGAGGGAGACAAUAUCUUUGAACCAAUAAAUUCCUACCGUUUACUGAGUUCUUUUACUGUGUGCAAGUCCAUGGGUAAUAUGCUUCACUAUUACUUAAUCCUCAGAACACAACAGGAAAUAAAUGUACACUCUUACUAUCUUUACUUAUAGAUGAAGCAAUUGAGUCCAGAAAGUUAAAUGACCCAGAGUCAUACUAAGUGACAAACACUGAAUACCAGGUAUCGUAUGAUCUCAGUCUUUGCCCUGAAACACUGUGUGAUCAAAGCAAGGUCACCCUCCCUGAGCCUCAGUGUGCCAUCUGUAGAAUGAGUCAUUUUAAACAGACAUGAAGUCCCUCCAACUUUAAUGUCUAUUAACAUCUAAAGAAUAAUAAUUGUUAGAAUUUAACCAACAACGCUGUCUAGAAAAAUUCAUUAGUAUUUGCUUCUGUCAUUUGUAUAAAUCAGUUAUUCUCAACACUUAGCAGUUCUCAAACUUGAAUCUGCAUCAGAAUAAGAUAAGUUGGAAGGCUUGAUUCAGUAGGUAUGGUGUUAGACCAGAGAAUUUCUGUUUCUUCCAAGGUCUAUAUGUGUUGUAAAUAGCAGGAUUUCCUUCUUUUUUGAGGCUGAAUAAUAUUCUAAUAUACAUACAUAACACAAUUUCUAUAUUCAUUCAUCUCUUGAUAAAUUCAUCUGUUGUUUCCAUAUUCUAGCUUUUAUAAAUAAUGCUACAGUGAGGCACAGACAAGGUGGCUCAUGCCUGUAAUCCUAGCACUUUGGAAGGCCGAGGUGGACAGAUCACUUGAGGCCAGGAAUUUGAGACCAGCCUGGCCAACAAAAUGAAACCCCAUCUCUACUAAAACUACAAAAAUCA